rnacentral:lncRNA from 1 species
CAAGGGUCAGGCAGACCUCUGUGCCCUGGGAGCUUGCCACCCUUUAGAGCUGUGCCCCAGCAGCGGCUACAGCUCAAGGCGGUAAGUGCUGGAGCUGCAAAAAGUGUUCCAUGAGAAGGUGAGGACCACCCUUAGCCAUGGAGCUCCGUGGGUCACAUCACCACGACACAGGGAGGCAGUGCUGGUGUGGUGCCUGACUAGACAGAAGCCAAGCUUGCAGAAUGCUGGCUACGUCUUCUGCCCCCUGGGCUACUUCUUCACAGACAGAGGCCCCAGCUGCCAGCCCUUCCCCACAGUUCUUGGCCAAUGUCUGCAGUGCCCAGCAGGACACUUCUGCCCCAACAGGGCCACCCAACUCAUCCCGAGCCAGCCAGGCACAUUCAGUCCCCACCCAGGCCAAGAUGAAGCCACAGACUGCGCUCCAUGCCCAGCAGGCAGGGCCUGCACCCAGGCGGGGCUGCCUCAGCCAGACGCGGAGUAUGCACCAGGGUAUGUGUGCCUUGUGGGCUCCUGUCUGCACACUCCCCGCCACGCCUGCCCACCUGGGACCUUCAGCAACCGCACCAACCUCUCCAACCUGUCGCACUGUGAGAUUUGCCCCACCAGACUGGCCUGUCCUAGGGGUGAGUGAGGAGGCAGAAAGGCAAGCUUACUGCCUGCUGGACCGUACCUUUGGGUCAAAGCCCAGCUCCACUGCAAGGCAGGGAGGCCAAAAAAACAGACCUUUGCCCGCAGCCCCUUUGUUCCCCACAAAGAGCACGGUCCACCUCACCUUAGGAUGCCCAAGGAAGGGAGCAUGUAGAGCACUGAGUCCCCACCCCGCUGUCCAGAUGGGGCAGCCUCUGGGCCACUGCCAACCCAGAUGCCCCUUCCCCAAUGCCAGCCCCAGCCCGUGUCCCUGCCACUUGCCAGCGGGAUACGGCUAGAGGGGCUGCUGCUCCUCUGGGCCCAGUUCAG